AUUGAACGCUGGCGGCAGGCUUAACACAUGCAAGUCGAGCGGAAACGAGAUAGCUUGCUAUUCGGCGUCGAGCGGCGGACGGGUGAGUAAUGCUUGGGAAUAUGCCUUUUGGUGGGGGACAACAGUUGGAAACGACUGCUAAUACCGCAUAAUGUUUACGGACCAAAGCGGGGGACUCUUCGGAACCUCGUGCCAAAAGAUUAGCCCAAGUGAGAUUAGCUAGUUGGUGGGGUAAUGGCCUACCAAGGCGACGAUCUCUAGCUGGUUUGAGAGGAUGAUCAGCCACACUGGGACUGAGACACGGCCCAGACUCCUACGGGAGGCAGCAGUGGGGAAUAUUGCACAAUGGGGGAAACCCUGAUGCAGCCAUGCCGCGUGUGUGAAGAAGGCCUUCGGGUUGUAAAGCACUUUCAGUCGUGAGGAAAGGUUAGUAGUUAAUACCUGCUAGCUGUGACGUUAGCGACAGAAGAAGCACCGGCUAACUCCGUG
rnacentral:rRNA from 1 species